rnacentral:lncRNA from 1 species
ACUGGGCUCUCUGACAUUUAAAAGAGGGCGGGGGCAUCUAAUUCAGAGUCAAAAGCACCUAGUUAUGCCUCAGCUAUCUGAAAGAAAUUUUCUGCAGUUAUUGUGUUUAUGUGUGUCUAUAAAAUUAGAAACAGUAUCUUCUCAGUGACCAUGCAGAGAUAUAAGAGGAUGAAGGAACGUUAGUACUUGCAAUCACCCAUAAGGACAUUGUUAAGAAGCUUCAAAGGUUCGUUCAAACAAUGUUAUGUGCCAAGCAUUAUACCAAAUUCUGGAUGAAACAGAAAUAAGAAUGAGUUGAAGUUCAUGGAACUGGAAAGCAGAAUGGUGGUUCUCCAGGCUCUUACUUCCUUAUUUUGCUCUAAACUUUCUCUGAAUUCUCCAUCAACCUCAAUCUAUUCGUUAGCCUCUCAGCUGGCCUCUCUUCCUUCACCAAUCCUCUGAGU